GGGGUUGUGGCUCAGUGGUAGAGCACUCACCUAGCAUGUGUGAGGCACUGGGUUCAAUCCACAGCACCA
rnacentral:tRNA from 1 species